rnacentral:lncRNA from 1 species
CCAGCACCUCCGCCUCCCCAUUAAGCGCCUCUCCAACCUCUCCCUUUCUGCCACCACUCCAAAGAAAACCCCACUUAUCUCUGCAUCAAUGUAAGCUGGAAUUGGUGUAAUGGGCACGAAGCUAGGCAUGAUGUCAUUCUUCGACGAUUCUGGGGCUAUAAUCCCCGUAACUGUAGUCGGAUUCCGAGAGGGCAACAUUGCUACUCAGGUCAAGACCGAGCUCACUGAUGGUUACAAUGCAGUUUAGGUCGGGUAUAGGUGAGUCCGAGACCGAAAAUUGACGAAACCGGAGAUGGGCCAUCUGGAGAAGUUCGGAAUUAUCCCGUUGUGCCACUUACAGGAAUUUAGGCUCCAGACCGUUGAUGGGUUUGAGCCCAAUCAGAGACUUUCGAUUGAGGAAUUGUUUAAGGAAGGGGAUUUGGUUGAUAUUUCUGGGACCAUAUAUAUAUAUAUAUAUAUAUAUAUAUAUAUAUAUAUAUAUAUAUAUAUAUAUCUUUUUAUCUGUCUAUGUAAUUAAAAAUUUUCUAGAGUGCCGCAAUGUAAAUGAAACAGUUAAAGCUGUUUCUUAACAAUUACU